GAUGAACGCUAGCGGCAGGCUUAACACAUACAAGUCGAGGGGUAUUGGUUUUCGGACCAAGAGACCGGCGCACGGGUGCGUAACGCGUAUGCAAUCUACCUUUUGCAGAGGGAUAGCCCAGAGAAAUUUGGAUUAAUACCUCAUAGUAUAGUACUUUGGCAUCAAGGAACUAUUAAAGUCACAACGGCAAAAGAUGAGCAUGCGUCCCAUUAGCUAGUUGGUAAGGUAACGGCUUACCAAGGCUACGAUGGGUAGGGGUCCUGAGAGGGAGAUCCCCCACACUGGUACUGAGACACGGACCAGACUCCUACGGGAGGCAGCAGUGAGGAAUAUUGGACAAUGGGCGCAAGCCUGAUCCAGCCAUGCCGCGUGCAGGAUGACGGUCCUAUGGAUUGUAAACUGCUUUUAUACAGGAAGAAACACUCCGACGUGUCGGAGCUUGACGGUACUGUAAGAAUAAGGAUCGGCUAACUUCCGUGCCAGCAGCCG
rnacentral:rRNA from 1 species